rnacentral:lncRNA from 1 species
UAAGAUUGUAAGAUUACUAUAUUUCAAUGAAGAAGAAAAAAUGUUUUUUUAUUUGAAAGGUAAUUAGGUAGGUUACUUUGUUUCUUGUUUAAAAUUAGGGUAAACUUCAAAUACCACCCCUGUGAUUUCGUACUUUCUCACUUUAGUGCCAUGUGAUUUAAAGUAUAUCAAGUUAGUGUCCUGUGGUUUCAUUUUUAUCUUUUCGUCAGUUUUUCCGUUAAUAUUUCGUUAAAUUAUAUACAAAAAACUUCAUAUACCCCACCUAGGUUUAUCGAAUAUUCACUUUAAUUUAGUGCCCUUUAGUUUUAACUUUGUCACUGAUUUAACGAAAAAAAUUAAUGAAAUCGAUAAUAAAAAGAUAAAAAUGAAACCACAAGACAUUAAAUUGAUACACUUUAAACCAUAGGGUACUAAAGUGAGAAAGUGUAUAACCACGGGGGUGGUAUUUGAAGUUUUC